CGCCCUUCCCUACGGGAGGCAGCAGUGGGGAGUCUUGCACAAUGGAGGAAACUCUGAUGCAGCGAUGCCGCGUGAGUGAAGAAGGCCUUUGGGUUGUAAAGCUCUUUCGUCGGGGAAGAAAAUGACUGUACCCGAAUAAGAAGGUCCGGCUAACUUCGUGCCAGCAGCCGCGGUAAUA
rnacentral:rRNA from 1 species